rnacentral:rRNA from 1 species
AUACGAAGGGGGCUAGCGUUGUUCGGAAUCACUGGGCGUAAAGCGCGCGUAGGUGGAUCAAUUAGUUGAGGGUGAAAUCCCGGGGCCCAACCUCGGAACUGCCUUCAAUACUGUUGAUCUUGAGACCGAGAGAGGUGAGUGGAAUUCCUAGUGUAGAGGUGAAAUUCGUAGAUAUUAGGAAGAACACCAGUGGCGAAGGCGGCUCACUGGCUCGGUACUGACGCUGAGGUGCGAAAGCGUGGGGAGCAAACAGGAUUAGAAACCCUAGUAGUCC